rnacentral:misc_RNA from 1 species
CUCUGGUGCACGAACACGCGCAAGCACGCCUUCUUCGUGGCAGAUGCCGCCGUCGCGGAAAGUGCGGCACGCCGCUGCGGUGCAAGAGCCUCGCAUUCCCGCGAAGCAGCAGCAGCGGCAGCAGCAGCGCUCGCCCUCCCCUGAUCACGCCGUCGGAAAAGGUAGCUCUGCAAGCACAUCGACUUCCACCGGUGCAACCGCCCGUGCUGCACCGCGGCUCCGCAAGGGGAGCUUGUCACGGACCUCCGUGACAAGUUCCCCCGUGGGGGCAUCGAAUCCGCGACGGCAUGCGAGUGCGGCGACGUCGUGGCGGGCACAGCUACUUCAUCUCGCUACGCAGGAGGCGUACACUGCCGCGACGCUGUUGCGCCUGCUACCCUCGACAGCGCCCGCCGACGCCAGGGAUGGUGUACAGCCUAACCAGUUGCUCUUGGGCACCGCUGCGCCGCCACCUGCGCCUUGUGGUGCUGGGGCUGCAGGUGGGGCCAGGGUGCAAACUGCGCAGACGGCACGCAUGGCUAGACGGAGCGCAUACGAUGCGUCGGCACCAACCGCUCCCGCUGCCACCACCGAGGCUGCUUCCCCGCCUACCCACACUAUCAAAUGGACGUCGUACGGGGAGCUCUGGGAAGGCCUACUGGCUCGCCUCCCGCUAGUGAACGGAGCCAACGACGCCGCGAAGCCCACGCCAGCCACGGGCGGCAACAGCGACGGCAACGGUAUCACCGGUGGUGGCAAGCGGUGCGGCGGAGAGUCGGCGGGUCACCGGGGCGACAAGAAGGCAGCGGUGGCCGCUGCUCUCGCUCACGGGGGUGCGAAAGCGGGCGACAUGAACUCGCCCGCCACCGAUGUCUCUUCGAUGCUCAGCAACGAUUGGCGAUCUUUCUUUCUGCACCGGCGCCUGAGCGGCACCGCGACGGCUGGAGGUCGCACAUGCACUGCUGCGCCUCCACAGGGGCACCAGGCAGCAGCGCGUCUGCAGCGGCGUCGGCUGGACAACCUCACAUGCUCACCCUACAUGACGCACGCGGAGCAGCGAGCGAUACGCCGGUACACCGCCGCAGCAAUCGCCUCUGUGCCGAGUGGCGUGCGACGCGGUCUCAGCACGAUCUGCGUGCUGGACUUCCUGUGACUUUCUCUCUCACCCUACAUCUUCUUUGUAAUCUGUUCGUGCGCGGGUGCAGCAUCCUUUGUUGGUGCAGAUGAGCCAUUUGGCGGGACGGCGGGCCUGGUCGGUUUCCCUUGCCUCGCCGUCGCCAACGCAGCACAGUCAACCUGCUAUACGCUGCUCUUCACUUCUGCUACACACAGACAGACAGAUUACUCCUUUCCCGUCUCGCUAGCUGUGUCAUGGUGUACCCAACAAGCAGCCAGAAGACGCCCUCGGCUCCGUUGCCCCUCUACUGCUGCUGUUCUUCACGUCCAGGUACGCCAGAGGAGCGCCCCCACCCCCUCCCCCCCCC